UACGUAGGGGGCAAACGUUGUUCGGAAUUAUUGGGCGUAAAGCGCGCGUAGGCGGGCUGAUAAGUUAGUGGUUAAAUACCCGGGCUCAACUUGGGACAUGCCACUAAUACUGUCGGCCUAGAGUUGCAUAGAGGCAGUGAGAAUUCCUGGUGUAGGGGUGAAAUCUGUAGAUAUCAGGAGGAAUACCGAUGGCGAAGGCAAACUGCUGGGUGACAACUGACGCUGAGGUGCGAAAGCCAGGGGAGCAAACGGG
rnacentral:rRNA from 1 species